AUUCCAGCUCCAAUAGCGUAUACUAAAGUUGUUGCAGUUAAAAAGCUCGUAGUUGAAUUUCUGGUCUCGGACAGCGGUCUGCCUCAAACGAGGUACGCACCACCUGUUCAGGUCCAUCCUCGGAGAAAACAUGCCUGUGAUUCAGUUCAUGGGUAUGGGAUCUUCGUCAUUUACUGUGAGCAAAAUAUAGUGUUCAAAGCAGGCUUAUGCCGUUGAAUACAUUAGCAUGGAAUAAUAAAAUAAGACCUUGGUCUAUUUUGUUGGUUUGUACUCCAAGGUAAUGAUUAAUAGGGAUAGUUGGGGGUAUUCGUAUUCAAUUGUCAGAGGUGGAAUUCUUGGAUUUAUGGAAGACGAACUACUGCGAAAGCAUUUACCAAGGAUGUUUUCAUCA
rnacentral:rRNA from 1 species